GUCUACGGCCAUACCGCCCUGAACAUGCCCGGUCUCGUCUGAUCUCAGAAACUAAGCAGGGCCAGGCCUGGUUAGUACUUGGAUGAGAGACAGUGCCAGCAGGUCCUCAACA
rnacentral:rRNA from 1 species